rnacentral:rRNA from 1 species
GACGAACGCUGGCGGCGUGCUUAACACAUGCAAGUCGAACGGUGAAGCGCCUUCCUUUUUGGUGGGUGUGGAUGAGUGGCGAACGGGUGAGUAACACGUGAGUAACCUGCCCCCUUCUUCUGGAUAACCUCAUUAAAGUGUGGCUAAUACGGGAUAUUCUGGUUCUUUCGCAUGAUUGGUCUGGGUAAGAUAUUGUUUCGUUGUGGGAUGGGGUGGCGGCCUAUCAGCUUGUUGGUGGGGUGAUGGCCUACCAAGGCGGUGACGAGUAGCCGGCCUGAGAGGGUGGACGGUAAAACGGGGACGGAGAGAAGGACAAGACUACUACGGGAGGCAGCAGGGGGGAAGAUGGAACAAUGGGGGAAAGGCUGAUGCAGGGAAGCGGCGGGAGGGAUGGAGGACUUCGGGUUGUGAACCUCUUUCGCCAGUGAAGCAGGCCUGCCUCGUGUGUGGGUGGGUUGACGGUAGCUGGAUAAGAAGCGCCGGCUAACUACGUG